rnacentral:lncRNA from 1 species
CAAACUCAAAAAUAACUAUGAUUUUCUAUUAAAAGAUCUCUAAUAAUAAAAGAAAUAAUCCUAAUUAACUACUAACAUCAACUAAGGCUGAAUCUUAUUAAUUCGUUUACAAAGCAAUUUCAGUCCCAGGCAUAUGAGGUUGACCUGGUUUACAUCUUAUUAUGACGAUGGACUAAGGAUAUUUAACAGUUUUUUGGGCAAGGCCUGCCAGCAGGCUCAUGGCUUACCAUUUAGGCAGCUGGUAAAACCAUUGAAUCUAAUUACCAACAAAAUCACAUAUGUGAAAUCAGGUCACUCUUCAUCUGGAAUUCAAAAAUGUUACAACUAUUUAAGCAAGUAAUGAGAAAAAAACACUCUUCUGGCAGUCAACGGCCAAACUAAGACUAAUUUGUGAUUCAAUUUUAGACUAGGAAACAAGGUAAACCAAUUCAAACUAUCGAAUUUGACAUUAGGUAAUCACUAGGAUCUCAUUUUGUAACCACUUUCAUGCUCUAAUAAUGACCAAUUAUCUCAAUACACACAGGCUCAAACAAUUAAUUACAACUAGUUUGUAGCUUGUUUCAAUCACAUGAACCUGAGAAGUAAUAAUCUGUACAGUCCAGCACAGUCCAAUUAUACAAAGGACUCAAAUAUUCAAGUAACAAACUCUUAUACAUUAAAACUAGGCAGAAACAAAGUAAAUUAGGAGUCGACUUCUAACAACAAUUCAAAUGGAACUUCAUCAUGUAUUCCUCAAAUCCAAACUACAUCAGUGAGAAUUCAAAUGUGUACCUGGGUAUUAAAUCACAGUAGAAGGAAAAUGGGAGUCAGUAGCAGUAACAGAGCAGCAGCCAAACAAAGUUUCACCCACAACACGAUAACACAGUAAACAGGAGUGCUUUAGAGAUGAAUAAACAGCAACAGAUAAACUAGAACACUUCAAAUUUCUCAAAAUCGAACUUAGAAAAGCCACAAAUCACUUUAAACAAUCAAAAAUAACCAGCAACAACUCAAACACAUUCAAAUAAACUCAAAAUUGAAACCAAAUGAUCUAGUACACCUUCAACAACUAGAACUGUCCAACGAUGACUUGAAUAAUCCCUAAACAACUCUAAAUGGCUAUGAAUUUGAAAAUCACCUACGGAAGGCAAUCGAACAGUAAAUUGUUUUUGAUUUUUUUUUUGUUUUUUGGGAUUUUUUUUUUGUAUUUUCUGGGUAGAAUUUUAGAUCUAAAGGGAAUUGUAAGUUACUAGUAAUUUGAAAUUCAAAAUCUAAGCUAAUCUGCAGGGAGAUGUUUUUGCUGGGAAUUUUGAUGGCUAAAAACUCUUCUAUUCAAGGCAUGCCAAUGCCAUUUUAUAGGCAACAUGAGGCAUCCUUCAGAUUCUAUAUUUUCCCUCUAAUCCCUAUGUUAUUUUCAGUUUUAACCCUUUAUUUUAUAACUUGUGUGACAAGUUUAUACACUACAAAUAUUGAAACCUGCAUUUGAGCCCUAUUCUAGAAGAUUCUAGUGAAUUCUAUUCUAAUCUAUAGUAUUCUAUACUACUAUUGUCACGACCCAAACUCGGUCGUGAUGGCAUCCGUCUCUAACGCUAGGUAAGCCUGACCAACAAUCGCUUUGAUUUAACAUUUAAGUCUCAAACCGAGAAUUUAACAAAAUAAUAAUCCAAGAAUAUUAAUAAUGUAAUAUAGAUAAGUACGGAAAUCGGAAACACACCCAUAUGAUCUGGGGUCACGAGUCUCUAAACAAAACUGAGUAAUAAUAAUAGUAUCUGAAUACCAAAACCAAAAUCUAGAAAAGUAAAUAAUAAUAAUAAAAUGAAGAAAUAAUGAAGAGCAUCCAGGUCCUGCGAACAUCAUGCAGCUACCUCAACGACUCUGAAAUAUCUCUGGAGACUACGAGAAUCAGCUAAGCCUCCAGUGUACCAGAAUUGUGCAGGGAGUAGGGGUGAGUACUACCGACUCAGUGAAUAAUAAGUAUAGAAAAUAUCUUAAAGUAAGAAAUCCACGAAAGACCACAAUGCAAAGCUAUAACUAAUAAUCCUAUAACUUAGCUUUAGGCUAACCGCAUAACAGUAUCACAACAACAACCAAGUAUCAGAUAAAGAUGCAAUGCAAUGCACAUGAAUACGAUGCAGCGUGAAGCCCGAUCCGUUUAACAACGACGACGCUCACCAGGGAUGUAUACAGACUCCGGAGGGGCUCCUUCAGCCCAAGCGCAAUAUUAUCAUAUCACCGCUGCAGCGUGCAGCCCGACCCAUGCUCAGUCCACAAUAUGCAUAUGAGUCACAUAAACAGAUUCAAUCUAAUUUCCCAUUUUUCCGAUUAUUAAGGUAAAUAUAAUUUAAUUAUUUAAUUUCAUAAAAAGUGACAGCAUUUCAUUUCGGUGAUUAAAUACAGGACUGAGAUCAAUGAUUAUGCAAUCAUGUUAUCACACGGAUAUUCACCAUAGACGAUUAAUACAGAUUGGCACAAGGCCCCAAUCAUGGCGUUAAGCCCAAUUAUCAACAACACAAUGUGCGUAUCAAACGAUAAUAAUUUAUUCAGCUCUCGAGAUGGACCAAGUCACAAUCCCCAAUCAUUUACAACCCCGCACCUGACAUUGGGUGCGAGUCAAGCCCUAACAUAGCGUCACGAUAUGAUAAACCGGGGUUUCAAACCCUCAGGCCAUCAUCUAUACAAACUACUCACCUCUAAACGGUCGUAGCCUAGUCUGCAAUGAAUUUUCCCUUCGAAUCUUCUCCUACGAGCGUCAAAUCUAUUCAAAAUCACAACGAAUAGGUUAUUAUAGGCUAAAUAAACAUAACCCAAUUUAACUUAAUCGAAAAACGUUAAAAAUCACGAAGUUGGUAGAACACGAGCCCCCGGCCCACUUCUUGAAAAAUACUAAAAAAUACAUUUUUGGAUUCCUCGUCUCGCCUCGAGUCCGUACAUAUAAAGUUCACCAAAAACAGAGUCUGUUUGACCCUUCAAAUCCCCAAAAUUCGUUUCCAAAAAUUGAGACCUAGUUUCUUCACAAUUUCAACCCACUUUCAUGAAUUUGGGUGUUGAUUCUUCAAUAAAAUGGUGUUUUUAAGUAAAGAGACUCACCUCCAAUCAAUACUUGUUGAAAACAUGCUUCAAUCGCUCAAAAAUCUCCUUGGGUUACUUCACAAUGGAGGAAAAUAUGUUUAAGCCACGGGUGAAAUAACCCUUAAAAUAUUCUGUCCGCCCAGUGAUUUACUAUAUGCGAUCGCGACCCAAGGCACCCGAUCGCGGAGAACAAAUUUCAGAACUUCAAUUUUCCUCUUACGCGAUAGCAGGUGAGACCACGCAAUCGAAGAACACUGCCCAAUGACCCUACGCGAUGGCACACACUCCUACACGAUCGCAGAGCAAGCUACGCGAUCAUAGAGACCAAUUAAGCACCCCCUUCCUAUCAUUCUAUGCGAUCGCAGCCCCAGGUUCGCGAUCGCAGAGAGCAAUUUCUGCUAUGCAAUUUCUGCUACACUUUUUCAUUCAAAAAUCUCCGUUAGCCAUCCGGAAUCACCCUGAGUCCUUGGGGACCUCAACCAACAGAUAUGCUCUGUUACUUCAUUCAAAAUCGCUCGUAACAUAAAAACACAAUCAUAAACAUCAUAAUCCUUAAAUUACCACGUAUUCAAGCAUAAGUUAAACCAAAACUUCCGAAACUUGCAUUUGAUCCACAACUCGACCUAAACACCUCCAAAUGAUCUGAAAAUUUGCACACAUAUCUAAAAUCGCCUGAUAGAGCUACUGCAACUUUCUGAAUUUCAUUCCGAACCCCGGAUCAAAAUUUCACCUAUCAACCGGACUUCGCCAAAUUUCUAGCUUAGCCAAUUCAAGCCUAAUUCUACACCGGACCUCCAAAUUCAGUCCCGAUUUCGAUCCUAAGUCACAAAUCACCAUCCAAAACUAGUCGAAUUGUCGGAGAUCCUUUCCGAGCCCUGUAACUCAUAAGUCAAUAUUCGGUUGACUUUUCCAAACUAACCUUCUCAUAAAGAGAAUAAUUGUCUCACUUCUACCCUAACUCCAUCCGAAUUCAUUCAAACUCUCAAAACACAUAUAAUUAAACAUAUAGAAACAUGAAAGGAGCAAAACGGGGUGAUAAUUCACGGAACGACGGGUCAGGUCAUUACAAUUAUGAAAGCCCAAAAUACCCCUGAACUAUCUGAAAUUACUAAACUAGUCCCAAAUAAAUUCAGUCCCCUUUUACUUUAGUUACAAAUUCAACUAUGAUUAAUUUAAACUAAGCUAGUCUGGUAUAACCAACCAUACUGAAUUAAAGAACAAUUAAACUAACUAUUAAACUAACAGAAACAUUAAAUCAAUCUAGCCAAAAUCCAAUAGACUUGAAACCACAUUUAAACUAAAACCUAAAAUUACCAAAACAAAAUCAAUAAUGAAACACAAUUAACUACAUAAAUCAAUCCGCAAAAGUUGCCAAAUACUAAAACUAAAUUACAAAAUUAUGAAUCAGAACUAAGAAAUAGAGAUCACAACGAAAAAACCUAAUCGAAUUAAACUAACUAAUUAAUGCUAACUGAUAAACAAAAGAGACUUGUAACAACAUUAAACCAAGAAGGAGCAGGAAAACUCACUAGUUAUUUCUGAUUUACAAAUUGGCCAGUUCCGGUGAGCCUCAAGCGUUUUUUUACCAUAGAUUCAACACGAGGAAGAUGGAGUGAUCCUGUGGUGUCAAUUUGGGAAAAUUUUAAGAAUUAGGAUUUUGGCCGGAACUUCAAAUUGAUAUUUGAGAAGUUCUGGCCAUCUUCGAGAGAUGUGGCUUUGGGGGUUCGAAAGAGGAUGACAAGGCGAUCUUGUGGCAUAAUUUUGUUGGAGUUUUGAAUUGGUAGUGCCAUGGUCAGAAAACCUUCAAUGGAAGAUUCGAGACGAUGGACCAAUAUUUGAAUGAAGGGACUUAGGUAUUUGAGAUAAGGAGGAUGAGGGGAACCUACGGUGUUAGUUCGGGUGGGAAAGGAAGCCGGCCGCCGCCGUGGGCGAUUUCUGGUAACGGAGCCGGUGAUGUGGAGAAGGUACAAGGAAGUCAAUGUUUGGUCUCUAGGGUUAGAACUAAAUUCGGACACUUUUAUGUAAAUCGAAUAUCUAACCAGGGCCGUCGGAUUAGGGAAGGAUAAAGGGCCCAGAUCGAUAUGGCAUGAAACCACGUGGUAGUACUCCCAUACUACGUCAUUUUGAUGGUUGGGGUAUAGGGCGUCUGGACAAGGUAUGGGGGUGGGUUGGGCUUUGGAAGUGG